CCUACGGGUGGCAGCAGUGGGGAAUAUUGCACAAUGGGCGCAAGCCUGAUGCAGCCAUGCCGCGUGUGUGAAGAAGGCCUUCGGGUUGUAAAGCACUUUCAGCGGGGAGGAAGGCGGUGAGGUUAAUAACCUCAUCGAUUGACGUUACCCGCAGAAGAAGCACCGGCUAACUCCGUGCCAGCAGCCGCGGUAAUACGGAGGGUGCAAGCGUUAAUCGGAAUUACCGGGCGUAAAGCGCACGCAGGCGGUCUGUCAAGUCGGAUGUGAAAUCCCCGGGCUCAACCUGGGAACUGCAUUCGAAACUGGCAGGCUAGAGUCUUGUAGAGGGGGGUAGAAUUCCAGGUGUAGCGGUGAAAUGCGUAGAGAUCUGGAGGAAUACCGGUGGCGAAGGCGGCCCCCUGGACAAAGACUGACGCUCAGGUGCGAAAGCGUGGGGAGCAAACAGGAUUAGAUACCCCAGUAGUC
rnacentral:rRNA from 1 species